rnacentral:rRNA from 1 species
AUACGUAGGGUGCGAGCGUUGUCCGGAAUUACUGGGCGUAAAGAGCUCGUAGGUGGUUUGUCGCGUCGUCUGUGAAAUUCCGGGGCUUAACUCCGGGCGUGCAGGCGAUACGGGCAUAACUUGAGUACUGUAGGGGAGACUGGAAUUCCUGGUGUAGCGGUGAAAUGCGCAGAUAUCAGGAGGAACACCGGUGGCGAAGGCGGUUCUCUGGGCAGUAACUGACGCUGAGGAGCGAAAGCAUGGGUAGCGAACAGGAUUAGAUACCCUGGUAGUCCAUGCCGUAAACGGUGGGCGCUAGGUGUAGGGGUCUUCCACGACUUCUGUGCUGUAGCUAACGCAUUAAGCGCACCGCCUGGGGAGUACGGCCGCAAGGCUAAAACUCAAAUGAAUUGACGGGG